GUCAGGAUGUGAGAAGUCUCAUCAUAAAUGUAACUGGUGAGCAAGAUGCAUGAGAACUAAGAUUGUUUUAGUUCUCAUAGCUCCAGUAAAUAUAAAUCAGUUUCAUGUUUGCACAUCUUGGUUUUAUCUAACCAGCCAAAUGCUCUAACUUAAAGCUUACUCAGAUGUCCCAACUGAUAAGGAAGCACUGAGUAAAACGAUUAUGCCCACUGUGAGUAGUGCAGUAUGCAGAGAUAGUCGUGCUGGUCCCAUCUGUGACAUUAACCUCAUAACACGUGACUGACUCUGUGAUUGUUUUGUGAGUACUUUGCCAUUUUCAUCAACAUUUUCCACCAUUUUGACCAUUUUGAAUGGUUUAGGCCAGUUGAAUAAUACCUUGCAACACCUGUAUCUGGUAACAAUCAUUGAUCUGAGAUUGUGUGUGCUUUUCCAACCCUGCAGGUUCCAGAGAUUGAGCAAGAGCUUUUUACUAAUUCAUUUCUUUAUGGUUCAAAGCUUCUGAGUAAUACAGAGAUAAAUGAAUCCCUUCAGAAAACAACUGAAGAUUACACGAAGAUAUCUUGUGAGUCGAUCCUUCUUCAAUCCACAAAUAACACACCUUAGAGAAUUUUCUUCUUAAUUUUUUUUCCUGCAAAACUAAAAAAUAAUGUUCUUAUUCUGUUUUUUUUUUUUUUUUUUUUUUUUUUUUUUUUUUUUGUGUACAGUGUUAAAUGCUUUUGUGGAGGACUCACCAACAUACUUGAAUCCUGAAUCUACCCAAAACAUAGAAUUAAUUUCACUUAAGCCAAGUUACAUUAGCAAAGGAAGUAAUGAAAAAAUCCAACAUCCCAUUCAAACACAAAAAACAACCCCUGUGCCUCUCAAACCUACACCAUUUACCCCACUCAAACAGAUUUUUAUACAGGAUUCGCAUGGACAUAUGCAACCAACAGAGCAGGCCACAAAACCUCCAGUAAUGAAUCCAGACACAAACAGCCCUUCGUCAGCAGACUUAUAUUUCCAUAAAAUGUUGAGCUUUUCUCUGAAAAGUGCCCAGUCCUUUAGCGGACAAACUCAGACUACAGGCUUAACUUUAAUGGAUGUAGAGAAUUUCACUGCCUUGGCUCCUGUUGAAAAGCACCAAAAUCAGAGUCAAAUCAUCAAGCAGUCUGGAGGUACCAAGUCAUCAGUGACGAAUGACACAGACCUUGUUGAGUCACUCAAGAAAAACACCUCACAGGCUCCUAUGAGGACCACUGACAAUAAUUACAGAGAAAAGGAGAAAUCCCAAACUUGGUUGCCUGUGAUUGAGAAGCAUGACAUUCCCAUUGUGGUUGGAGUUGGUGUUUCAUUGGCAUUCAUCUUCAUUGCCAUGGCCUUUUACUCUCUGGUUCAGAAAAAUGAUCCUGCAGCUGUACCUACAGGGAGGGCAGGUGAAAUAUAA
ensembl:lncRNA